UUUUUUUUUUUUUUUUUUUUGGUUUGAAGAAAGGGGGUGGGGUGAUAAAAUACUCAGCAUGCUUGGUAAAAUUUUUUUCCUUUCUUUCUUAUUUCUUUAAGAAAAUAAGGAUGGCUAUCAAAUUAAAUUUUAAAUCUUAGAAAUAAAAGUGAUAGAAUUGCCAUUGUUUUGUAAAUGCAGCGAGUGGCAUUUCAAUUUCUAUUUGACAUGAUUUGUUGAAAUUAACAUCAUCAUAUUUUACAAAGACCAAAUAAGAAAAAAGAGUUAUCAUGUAAACCAUGGUCAACGGCAUCUAAUAAUUCUAAUAAUCAAGCCAAGGGAAAGGGGAAAAAAUUAAUAAUCAAUUUUUUGACCAUUAAAUCAUAAUUUCUUGUUUUAAACCACAAAAGAGAAAGAUUGGCAAAUGAUCAAAUCCACUUGCUGAUCUUGUCGUAUGGGAAUUUAGAAGUAGCAAUCCUAUAAUCUCCUUCAAUUUUAUCUCGUUGUAUUUUUUUUAGUAAAUUUUUUUAACCCUUUCCACCGCUCCCCAAACUCUUCAUAUCUCCAACUGAUUGGGAUAAAAUUCAAAUCUUGAACUUGACAACGGAAAAGACAUAUUUUGUUGUACUCUUAAGUGAAUUAGGCAAAAACUUUCAUGUAUAUGUUUUUUUUUACUUUAAAAAGUAAUUAUUUAUCGACUAAAGAAUCCUUCAUUAACCAACUUAAUUUCUUUUCAGUGAAACAAACUCUCACAACUUUAAUUUCUAAUAAUAAUUACUAAAACUGACCUAUCCUCCAAAAUUUUAUUUAAAUGGCCAAGUAACCACUGGAGUUAAUGCAACACAGUAGUGGACAAAAUCAGCAUUUAAAGUUAAAAAAAUCUGUCAAAGAAGAUGACCUAUAGCUGUGUGGCUACAAUCUACGACUGAUGAAGAUAAGGUAUCGAUAUUGAUAUCUAUAAGAAUUUUCUGUUCCACCAUAACCGCUGGAGAGUGACCUCAAAUCCAGCAAUAAAAAAACUAUUCCUUUAUGGUGAAAAAGGGGAAAAGAUCUUCAUGAGUUGCUCAAAAAGAGGCAGGCAUUGUAACUCUUUGUCCUAUGAGUUAUGACUUGUGAGUUGUGGCCUUUACGUGUCAGUUCUAUGUGCCUUUCUAAUUUCUAUUUGAGGAAACAACCAGGUUGUGGAAAUUAAUCAUAUGGAGAUUAAUUUGACUAGUCAACUUUCUUGAGAUUCUUGAUCAUGAUUUCAUCUGAUUCAGGGCUGAAAACAACUGGGGAUUUGAUAUUUUUGAAGGGUCGAUGGUGAUUUUAAUCUUAGUUAAUGGUGUAAUCAAAGGGUUCUGUUUUAUAAUGUAGAAAAUGGAGAUUGUUGUAAUAAAAUAGCAUGAUAUUCCGUGUAUAGUUCUGACAUGCACAGCUUUACUUGCUGGCUUAACAACAAGAAGCUACUAGCUCUCCUUUGUUUGUCUGUGGUAUGUGUGUGUGAGAGAAUGUUUGUGGUGUGUGAGAGUGUGUGCGUGACCGUUCAUUUUGACACCGUCCAAACCCUAGUGGUGAGAACACAGAGAAGGACAAAAAUUUAAGCAUGCCCCUCAAGAAACUUGAAUAUUUUUCUCCAACUCCCCUAUAGGGAAAGGAAAAAAGUUCUUGAUAACAAACCAAUUAAUCUAACGGAUAUUCCAAUAGUAGUGUUUGGAUUGUAAGUUAUUACACUUUAUGUACACACACUGAUUUGCUUGUAUCAUCAACAUAUUUUUCAAUCACCUUUUUAUCUCACAUACAUCAUAUCAAAAAAUUUCUACAGUACUUUUUUCACAAAAUUAACUCAAAUAAUUUACAAUCCAAACAUUUGGUAUAGGUUUGUGCGUUAUUGUUGAAUCAAAUGUGUGCAAAGUUUUAGUGUGAAUUGACUAAAUUUAGGUCGACAGUAAUUAAUAUAUUUGAUUGAUUACAUGUAAAAAUAUCAAGCUACUCUGCAUUUAAGGUGGCUCGACUUGAAAACUACUUGAAAAUUACACAAGUGAAGCUUGAAUUGGUUCGGAACCUAUAUCAAACUCAUAUAGUACACUAAACAAGUGAAACUACUUGAAUUCGUUGAGAAUCCAAAUCAAGCUUGAACAUUUUACUAUUUGACACUACUCGAAUUUUUUUACACAUUUAACCACCGUCUUCCUCAGGAAAACGGCCCUAUUUAAAGACAAGUUCAGCCCACAGUUUUCUUCCAUUCACCAUCACUCUACUUAGCUCUAGCUGUGUGUUCUUGUAAAGCACUAGCACACUCCCUCUCCAUCCCUCCCUCUUGUACUUGUAUAUUGGAAUACUCCACCUUUGAGCUUAUCCUUAACACUAUAAUUCUGUCUUUUUCAAUCCAGAUUGCUACAAUACUAUAUAGCAUCCCAAAUUCUUCGAGCAUCAUUACCAUAAAAGAUGUCAAGCCGAAGGUCGAGGUCAAGGCAUUCAGCAGCUUCAAGGAUCACUGAUGAUCAAAUCAUUGAUCUUGUAUCUAAGUUGCAGCAGCUUCUUCCUGAGCUUCGCAAUAGAUGCCCAGAUAAGGUAACUGUUCUUGCCCCAUUUCUUUUCUGAGCCUAUCUCCAUAAUUUUCCAUUUUUGUUUGGCUUGGAUGCUAGUAACGCAAAAGAUAACAAAUUGAUGAAGAAUAAUAUUUCUUUAAAGCACACUUGAGCUUAGUAUAGACAAGCUUAUGAUGUUAUUCGAAAGAUUUCUUCCCGAAUUAAGAAAUGAUUCCAUAUGGAACAUGAUUAUGGUGUCCAUCCAAUAUUUCAAGGCUUUCUUUCUUUCUUUUUUUUUUUUGAUUAUAAAAGUGAGGUCAUAUUUACUCUUUCUGGAUCUCAUGUUUGUAAAAUGAGGUAUCCGGCUAAAGAAACCGACCGAUUCUUGCAGGUUUCAGCAGCCAGGGUCUUGCAGGAGACAUGCAACUACAUCAGAAGCUUGCACAGAGAAGUUGAUGACUUGAGUGAGAGGCUGUCUGAAUUGCUUGCAAAUUCAGACACCAGCCAAGCAGCCCUAAUUAGAAGCUUACUUAGUCAGCAGUCUUAAUCAAUCCAACUGCUGCUUCCUUAAUUAUGUUGUACUUUCAGCUUCUUUCCAGGUUUUUGUCACUAGCAUUUGACUAGCUAGAUGAGUUCAUCUGGAAUGAUCAAACAACUCCUAUGGAGAGCUAGUUUAGAUGUAUGUAAUAAAGGAGUUUUAGCAUUUAGAAAUGCUCCCAAUUUCCUUAUGUAUCAAGUUAAGCAUUCAGUCGCACAUCCUUUAAGUUGGUGAUAUAUUGCUUCUGGUACAUCUUUGGGACUGAAUUUUACUUUCUUAUGCUUGAAAUUAUUAGCUUUAAAGUUGGACCUAAUUCUUAGAAAAUUGUAGUGGUAUUGCAAAAUCUGCACUAGGUUAUUUCGUGCAAGAACACUGAAAGAAAUUUUUUGUGCUCGCAUUCAGUCAAGCUGAAGCCAAAUAAUAUUACGAAUUUGAUCAAGCCGAACAACUUAUGAAUAACUAUAAAAUGUAAGCUUAACUUAUGUACAGAAACUUCAAUGAAAUCAUUUACAUUAGUUUUCCAGAAUGAUCCAGAAGGCUAUUAAAAAAAAUGUUGAAGGAAUUAAGUUCUAACCAGACCAACAAUGAAAAAAAAAAAAAGAUAUAAAGCCAGAGUAAGAGAUUAAAGCUAGUAAUUGUGGAUAUUCCUCAUAAAUUGACAAAAUGCUUUAGGCCUAUUUUUCAUGCCUAUUUUUGAGGCGUCAUCCUUUUGCCAAUCCAUGCACUGAUAGUUCUUUAGAACCCAAAUGGUAAAAUUCAUAUUUACUCGAUAUGUUCAAGAAUCUCAGCUGAGUAGCUGUUACACAAACUACUGAGACUAUAUUUUAAACACAUGGAAGUAAAAAGGAUAGCCAGCUGUAUGAGUUGUGACAUUGUAACCUUGACUUAGUAAUUUCUUGAACGGAUUAUUUUUUUUAAUAUACUUAGUUAUAAUUAGAGCCGUUAAUCAAACCGAGUAUUUGGUUGUCGAGUUCGACUCGAGCUCAACUCGAGCCAAGCUCGAACUCGCUUGACUAGACUGACGAAUUUUGAAAUGUGUUCGGACUCGACUCGCCAAAUGGACAUGUGGCUCGAGCUUGAGCUUGAGCUCGACUCGUUUAUCACAAACGAGUCGAGCUUGCACGAGCUCAAGCUCGAGCUCAUGUAAAUUAACCCUAAUAAAAACUUAUAAUUUUCAAUUUUUAUACUUUUGAAUUGUGAAAUGACAUAUAUAACCUUCCUUAUAAGAGCCUAAUCGAGCUACUCAAAUAACAAACGAGUCGAGCUUUCUCGGCUUGUUAAUUAAACGAGCAUAUCUUCAGCUCGAACUCGAUUCGUUUACCACAAGUAACGAGCCGAGCUCGAGCCUUAUCGAGUCGAGCUCAAUCGAGCUACUCGUUUCAUUUAACAGCUCUAGAUAUAAAUAGAUUUUUCUGAAUUAACAUCUGUCGGUGCAUGACAUAUUCACAUAGUUUUUUUUUUAAAGGACAUAUUCACAUAGUUUACCUACCUAAUCUUUUAGAUUUUAUUACCUGAUUAAGUCAUGAAAAGAUGUGAGAAAAUUAAGUCAAAACCGGCAACAUAAAUCGGCACAUGGAAGUAAAAAAGGAUAGCCAGCAGUGUGAGCUGUGGUGUAGUCCCCGACAAUGUAACCUUGACUUAUUAUUUUUUUAUAUACUUAGAUAUAAUUUUUUUUUUUGAAUUAACGUCUGUCAAUGCAUGACAUAUUCACAUAGUUUACCUACCUAAACUUUUAGAUUUUUUUACCUGAUUAAGUCAUGGAAAGACGUGAGAAAAUUAAGUCAAAACCGACAACAUAAAUCGGCUUAGUUGGUAAAAACAGGCGAUUUCCUUAUAAAAGAUCAUAUGUUUGAAUCUCUGAACCAUGAUAGUGAUCAAAGCUGAAUCUAUUCAAAUUUUUUUUUUUUUACCAAAAGAAAAAAGUCAAAACCAAGAAUAACAGCAAGCGCCAACUUUCUUUCCGGAAGAACCUACCAUGUCGUCGAUAUUCUGGAUUUUUAUAUGCUAUGUCUCUAGAACGCUGUACAAAUCUAGUGAUGGGAUAGAUAUUAACUACUAAAAUUUUUAAUAUGUAAAUGAUGAGAAUCAAGGUCAAUUAUUAUUUUGCACGAACAUUAUCUUUUUCCUUCCAUGUAAUAAUGUGCACAUAAAAUUAUGCAUUUUAUACACUGGUGCUAGCUUCAUAUGUGCCUAAUUUUGGGGAAAACAACAAUCAUGAGCAUCAACAUCUGCUGCUCCCAAGAGAAAUAUAAGGGGAACAAUAAUUACAAAACUACAAAGUAGAAAAACAGCAAGAAGAAUUCAAUAUGUCUCUCAUUUUUUCGACCUACAACUGCAUCAUCUUCUUGUUGACUUGAAAAUUUUAUGCUUCAUUUCAUUAUGUAUACUUCAUCCUUUGCAGGGUUUCUGGGUCUACUUGUCUAGGCCAUGCAGCCACAUUAAUUAUCAUGUUUUUCUUGAUUUGUUUUUCUAAAGUUCACUAAAUACGAGAUUGAUGUGGCUACCGAACUGUUAGAUUUGUGACGACCCUUUCUUACGCAGGUCUUAUAUUUUCGAUAGUUAAGGCUCGAUUCUAUAACCUUCCACUAGCCGCAGUUGGUGAUUGAAUCAUGUUCUGGAGCAACAGGUGAAUUUACAAGUAAAAAUAGUGGGAAAAACCCUUUAUAAGAAAGAGUUAUGUUGAACAGUUACCACAUUUCUGCUUGAUAUUGUUAUGGCCAAUCGCAGUUAUGUGCCCAUUAGGUAAUUUUUGGAUAUCCCAAUGAGUUCUUGAAGUAUCAUGAGUUAGGAGUAAAAAAGGCUUUGAAUGAUGGUUUCAAAUUUGUAGGCAGUAUAUAACAUACGGCUAAAAAUACUAUGUAAACCUAAUUAUAUAGACUAUGUGCUUCAAGUAAUUGUGCGUAUUCCAUUAUUGUUGUAUCUUCUUAAAAAGCACAAAAAUUUAAAGCACGUUGGUCUACAAAGCUGUCUAUUCAUGUAUUUUUGUAGCAAUUGUUGUGCAUUGCCGCCCAGUAUAAUAUUAUUGGUCAUACCAAGUUUUUUUUUCCUGUGUUUGAGUUUCACUCGACUUGAAUGGUUGCACCAAAUUAUGCGUGCAAUAUAUUGUUAUUGGCUGCUAUAAUAAUAAUAAUAAUAAUAAUAAUAAUAAUAAUAAGAUACUGUUCGUUUGGAAGAAAAGUGAAGGAAAAUAACUUUCAUGUUCAUUUGCCAAGAAAAGGGAAGAAAAGUGAAGGAAAAUAACUUUCAUGCAAGUUUUGAACUUUUGUUUGUUAGGAAACUUAUGGGACCCGCCACAUAAAAUUUUCCUGCAAAAUUUUUACUGCUGAAAUUGAAAGGAAAAUGACUAGCGGAAAAGUUUGACUAAUUAGAUAUCUUUUGCAACUCCUUUCUUUCAGAAUACUCCAUCAAUAGGAAAAACUCCUUUCUUAUAUGAACACCCUCUAUGUAGAGAAACCAGGAAAAUACUCUACCAACUCCCGAAGAGAAAAUCUUAACUUGGGGCGCACCCAAAGGAACAAGGUAUAAAAUCCAAACAACACAACCACUGCCAGAAAUACGAUUUAACUAUUUAACUAAUAAAAGACUCCUAAACCUUCUAAUCAGAAUAGAAUAUGAAAUAAUAAAGUAACCGUUAAAGCUACAUUUUUGUUCUUGAGCAGAUCAAUGGAUAGAGACGAUGAGUUCGUGAACCCCGGGCUCUUCAUUCCGUAUCAUGAAUGGUCCAUAAAAUCUCCUCAAAUUAAAGAACUCUUUUGACCACUCAACAGUGUCAAAAUUGGGACUGGUUAUCUUGCCCAAUAAAAGUUGGUUAAGAUUGGACCAGAAGGUCCAGGACAGUAAAUCUUCUCUGAAUAGUUCGUCAUAUUCAUAGCACCUGUAAUUUGUCCAAAGAAAAAAAAUGGUAUGAUAGACUUUUAAUGCCUGAAAGUAUUGCUUGAUUUGUUAUUUGGUCUUCCAUAUAAUUGACCACAAAUCUCUAGCCAUCAAUAUUACCAAUUGACUACUUUCCCCUGCUAUCCCUAAUUGGUUAAAUCUAAGGAGUCGUUUGGUGAAAAUUCAUCAAUUACAAUCACUGUGAUUUUAAUUCACUAGUUAAUAGCAAUGGACUGUUGUUAUGGUUCAGGUAUGAUUUUUUUUUCCCUUUUCCUCACUCUUUUUCUUCUAUUUUUUCACCACUCUCUGUUUCUUCUAGUACUUUUUAUUUUUUAUUUUUAAUUAACAUAUGAGAUACAUGGAUAACUAAAUAUUACUGAAAAAUAGUUAAUAACAAAACCUAUAGAGUGGACUCAAUAUAUAUUAACUCACUCCGAUUGACCUUAACCAAACUAUAAGCAUCACAAUCAUUAACUUUCAAACUAAUUCCUCAGUAUGAAAUCCACUUACCAGACACCGCCUAAGUUUAUGCUGUUUAAAUUGCUAUAUAUAAUUAGUUCUAUAGUAAUUAUGGAUCUUAUAGAGGAAUUUUUUAAGUUGAUGUGGUCAAUCAGUAAACUACAAUUUUAAGUGCUUGUAUUAAGACCCUGUUUGAUAACUCAAUUCAGCACUUAAAUUUAAUGGAUUUAGAUUUUAACAUAUUCAGGACUUUUGAUAACUAAAAAUUGAAAUCUGAAUUAAUUAAGUGGCACUGAAUUUUCUAGGUAAAAAUUAUUCCCAAAAUUAAGUAAUAAACUAUUCACUUGUCACUAAAUGUAAUAUGCACUUAAAUAUAUUAUAUUUAAUAUUUAACAAUCCAAUAACUUAAUAGAUUCAAACUUCAGAUUUCAGAUUUCAAGUUUCAGUUUUCAGUUUUAUCAAACGCACCCUUAUAACUAGAGGUGUCAAAAUGGGUGAGUUGGGCGGGUUUGGAUUGGGUAAAAUGGGAAAUGGGUAUAAGUGAGUCAAUCCAUUUAUACCCAUUUAAUUAGAUAGGUAUAAAUGGGUAAGUCAAAAAAUGAAUUGGAUAACCCAAUUACCGAUUUAUAACCCAUUUAUUUUAACUUUUUGUAAAGGGAAAAUCGUUCAAAACGUCCAUCACAUUUUGUAAAAUGACUUUUUUCGUUCCUCACUUUUAAAAGUGUACUUUUACGUCCCUUACAAAUUCACAUUAGUCAAAUUUGGUCUCUAUUUAGGUUUCCGACUAGUUUUUUGUCGGAAUCCACCACGUACCUUGCACAUGAUCAUUUUUUAAGGGCAAAAUUGUUAAAUCAAAAUUUACAUUAUCCGAUCCAUAGUCCCUUACAUUUUACAAAAUGAAUUUUUUUGUCCCUCACAUUUCACCAAAAUAAAUUGUUUUGUUCUUCACAUUUCACAAAAUAAUUUUUUUGCAUCCCUCAUAUUUUAUAAAAUAAAUUUUUUCAUCCCUCAUUGAUCAUGUGUAUGAAUAAUUUUUUUUAAACUCAUGUAUAUAUCUAUUUGAUCUUACCUAAAUAAUACGAAUAGCAUGUAAUAUAUCUCUAUUUGAUUUUGCUUGAACGUACUGUUCAGGUGAAAUUAAAAUAGAUAUAUACAGUGAUUUAAAAAAAAUUUAGUUUUUCACUCAUGUUCAUUUCCUUUUACUUGAAAAUUGAAAACAAAAAAACAUUUAAUCCUAAAAAUUAUCAAGUAUUUAUAUCGAAUUAAAUUUGGACAGAAAAAAGAAACAAAAGAAAAGUAUAACAAAAAGAAAUAAGUGAUUGACACACAUUCAAAUUUUAAGAUAAUCACAAGGCAAGAAAUUCAACUGUUGGUCUUAAAGGUGGUGCGUAAAAAUUUCAGAUUUAAAUUGCAAUUUGUUAGCAUGACUAUAGAAUUCGACUUAGAACCGAUCUAGAUGGUCUUUUUACCCAACUUAAUAAAUGAAUUAUUAUCAAAAUAGAAAAGACUACAAAUAUUGAAUAGAUUCACAUGGUGAAAUCAAAUAUAUAUAUAUAUGAAUUUAAAAUAAAAUUGUUAAAUUUAAACCCAUGUAUAUAUCUAUUAAAUAGCAUAUGUACAACUACAAUUAGUCUAUUUAGGUAAAAUCUAAUAGAGAUAUAUUACAUGCUAUUCGUACUAUUCAGGUGAGAUCAAAUAGAUAUAUACAUGAAUUUUAAAAAAAAUAUUUUUACACAUGGUCAAUGAGGGAGGAAAAAAUUCAUUUUGUGAAAUGUGAGGGAUGAAAAUUUUAUUUUGUGAAAUGUAAAUGAUGAAACAAAUCAUUUUAUGAAAUGUAAGGGAUUAUAGAUGGAUUAUGUAAAUUUUGAUUUGACAAUUUUGCCCCUAAAAAUGAUCACAUGCAAGGCAUGUGAUAAAUUCUGAUCAAAAACUAGUCGAAAACAUAGGUAAGAACCAAAUUUGACCAAUAUGAAUUUAUAAGGGACGUAAGAGUACACUUUUAAAACUGAGGGACAAAAAAAGUUAUUUUAUAAAAUAUGAGGGACGUUUUGAACGAUUUUUCCUUUUGUAAACUCAUUUAAAUUCAUUUUUGCAAACUAAGUUAUCAAUUUAUAUCGCUCUUUGUACCCCUUAUUAGUUUUAAAUAUUUAUUUAUAAUGCUCAAUAAGCCUAAUUACAAAUUUUUUUCCAUUUAUACUCUAUGUCGCAAAAUUACAUAUUAUUUAAUAAUUGAAUAAUAAGAAUAUCAAAUUUUGAACUAAGUACAAUAAAAGUUAAUAUAAAAACUUAAUCCAAAAAUUUUGAACCCCUAAUAUUUUUUUCAUAUAUAAAUUUAAAAUUUCAUUUUAGAAAGAUAAGAAAAGAGGCUAAAACUUAUCAUAAAUUGGUAAUGCUAAAAAUUGAGUAAGUUAACAAACUAAGAGAAAAUAAAAUAGUAAGAUAAAACCAACAAAUAAUAAUAAUAAUAAUAAAACAAAAGUAGUUAACAUCAUGACAAAAUGAAAAAUCUGAAAAAAAAAAUGGGUGGGAGGAAGAGAAUUCUAAAUGGAUUGGGUAUUAUUAGGUAACCCAUUUAUAUCCAUAUACAAAAAUUUAAGAUAUCCAUACCCAUCUAUUCAUGAGCGGAUAUGGAUAAAUUUAGUUAAGUGGAUUAGUUUGCCACCUAUACUUAUAACUUAAGUGUGUCAAAGUUAUACUUUCAAGAAGAUGCAAUGCAGUUACUAUGAUGUACUGGUAGAGUAACAAGUCUAAACUCUCAACAUAUUUCCAAAAUAGUAAAAUGUGGAAAGAAAAGCAACCGUUUUCCGUUAGCUACAUAUACAGCUACAUCUUUGACUAGGAAGUAAACCCUUUUUCCUUAAUUCGAUUUCUGCCAAGGAAAUAUUCUCAUCCUACGUAAACACAAAGUGGGAAAACUUGAUUUAUCUAUGCCGCAAUGUUCGUUCAAGGUAGCUUCAAUUCGUUGACUAGAUUCAAGUAUGCCUUUCUAGCAAAGCGAUAAUUUUCUUGCCAGAGCAAUUUUUAUCCAAAUACCAAUAUUACCCUCAAUUGGUCAAUCUCAUAUAUUCCAAUUAAUUUUGAUGGAACUUAUUAUCCACUAAUUACCUUUUAUCUUCCUCUAUCUCAUUAAACCAAUGAUUUUUUUAGCUCUCUCUCUCACUUCCCCUCCUAAUACUCCUUCCCAUCUCUUUGCAUCUUUUUUAUUUUACAAUUUCUUUUCAUUUUUUUGAGACCUUUGCAGUAUGUGAUUCAAAAAAUUUUUUUUGCAACCAGUACAUUAUUAUAGAUUUUUAUCAAUUUGUUUCCAUCUCCUUCCAGGUCCUAAGUGCUUUUUAUUAUAAGUGCUUUACCUGUUCUUGGGCGGUUUCAUCAUUUUUAGUUGAACCUUAAACCUUCAUGGUGCAAUGGCUACUUUAGUGAACAAAAUCAUAUUUGUUGGCAAGAGAAAAGGGGGUAUUAAGCCAUAUCAAAUCCUCCAUACCAAGAGUUUUUUUUUUUUUUUGCAUAUUAUAAAAUCAGAACCUCGAUGUCUAAUUUUUUUUAAUUCUUAUGUUUUAUUAAAAACUCUGGGAAAACUGUGUGAUUAAUAUUGUGAUGUCAUUGGAACUCAAUCCUAUGGUAUACCUCACAGGGUUAUUUCUUUGAAUUUUCUUGUUCAUUGUGCCCAUGUACAGUUAAUCUCCUUACGCACUUUACAAUCGUUUCCCCUUUUUACUGUAUUAUAUAAAUCUUGACUUCAACAUAUGUCCAUAUUUUCUAAUAACUAGAUUAAAGUAAUUUAAAAUUGCAUUACUUUCUAUAUCCGAAGGAAAAGUGUGUCUACAAUUUUUUGAUUAUUUUCACUUUAGAUUGUUAGUUAUUUGUGUUAAAUCAUGCUGUAUUUGUGAAAAAUAACUUUUAAGUACAACUUUGAAAAGAAAAAAUAAGAGCACUUUAAAGAAAAAAAUUACAAAAUAAGAAAAAAUUAUGGUAAAAAACUCAAAACCAAAUUAGUGAGUUAUGGAAAUAAUAAGUAAACAAAUUAAAGAAGAAGAAGGAGAAGGCAAACCAGUCAAUUAAUUAGAAAGAGAAGAAGAAUCAAUUAGUUAGAGAGAAGAAUAUCGUCAAAUAGUGGUGAGGUCGAGCAGUGCUUCACACUUUCUAAGGGGAGUAUACAAUUCAAGCAUUGUUACCGACAAGCCAAUAAGGUGGCAGAUAUUCUGGCCAAUGUCGGGUGUACCCUAUCUGAGUCAAUCUGUCUCUAUGAACAUCUAAGUAGCCUGCCAGGGAUAGCCAGGGGCGAAUAUCGUUUGGAUAAAUUGGCUUACCCAUCUAUUCGAAGACGUCGCAUUAAGUAAGUUUCUUAUAUUGGGCUUGUAUGGAUGAGGUCAGGUUUAUGCCCCCCUCAGGAACUGAUUUAAAGUAAUAAAAUUGGGACUGGCAUCCCAACCCCAGCUCUGGGGGUUGCAAAAAAAAAAAAAAAGGAGAGAAGAAAGAGAAUACUUAGUGGAUAAUGAGCCCCAACGAAAUUAAUGAGAAUAUAUGAAGUUGACCAAUUAAGGGUAAUAUUUUGAUAUUUGGAUAAAAAUUACUCUGAUAAGAAGAUUAUUGCUUUGGCAGUAUGGCCAGCUAUGCCUUUCUAAUAAAGAGGUUCCUUGCACACAUAAAAAUUGUUGAAAUCUAUAUGUAAGGUUCUUCAAGCAAUGCAUUUAAAAGGAAUUGAUACCAAAUAUAUUGUGAAAUUCAUUUCCAAAUAUAGGACAUUCAAUUAAUCUGAAUUUGUCAAUGUGAGAAACGGAUCCUUAUCGCUAGUUACUUCCAUUUGGAAUCGUUGGUCAAACAAAGUGUAAUAAUUGUUAAUAUGUAUAUAUAUAUAUAGUAGAUUAAGUGAAAUUUAAUCCAAACGUGUUAAUGGAUAUUCAUUUGAAAGUCUCUUCUACUAAAACCGAGUGUCUUGCGCACAUAACAGUUGUUGAAAUCUUUAUAUAAGAUUCUUCAAGCAAUGCAUUUAAGAGGAAUUGAUUUCAAAUAUAUAUUUGUGAAAUUCAUUUCCAAGUAUAGGAUAUUCAAUUAAUGUGGAUUUGUUAUUGUGAACCCAUUUGGUAUCAUUGGUCAAACGUUUUAUCCCUACUUAUUUGUAGGGUGUUCAGUUGAACUCCUUUCUUGAAUUCAUCUUAAUCAGGAGAUGCCAAACCUUACUUGAUACUUCACUUUACUCCAAGAAUUACUUUGAACCUUGAUUAAGUCUUUCGAUGUAAUUAACAUUCCGAGGAACAAACUUGGAAUAGCAAAGGAAACUGCUAUCAAUAAUCAAUUUUUUUUUUCACAUAGGAAAGUAGGAAAAAAGAAAGUGACUUUUUAAGAGGGAGCUAACAACACGAAGUCAACAUAUCUUUAGCAAAGCCAUGAAUAGCAACCUAUAAAAGUACGAUGUGUCUGACGGGUGCCCGUAAGACACUCAUUGAAAUAUAUUUUAAGCGUUAUAUUUUUGAAAAUAUAAGAUUAAUUAGAGAAAGUAAAUAAAUAUAAGAGAGGGUGUGCAAGAUUAAAUAGAAAAAAUAUAUAAAUGAAAAAGAUGAUAAUAAUUGCUUGUUUAUAUAUAUAUAUAUAUAUAUAUGGUAAGUUAAGUAAUUAUUAGGCUAGAACACCGGUUAGAAAAACCCAGAAAAUUAUACCGCAAAAAAAAUGUGGACUUGGAACAAAUGUUUUAGAUAUUGAAAUGAAGAUUAUUUUUAAGAUAACGUUGAUAUAUUUUAAGCUUGUAUAAUUAGAAUACCUGGUGAUGUCUUAGAAUCACGUUUAACGGCAUUGUAUGAAAUUAAUUUUUUGAAGUGAUGUAAAAUUAUAUUAAAAAAAUUUCACAGGGUUGUCUUACAUAGAUAAUAUUUUACCAUAAUUAAAAAUAAACUUCUAUAAAUGGAUUUGUAGUGCUAUAUUUAAAUAAAACUCAUAAAAAUGUGGCACCAAAUUAAUUACAUUUCUUUAGGAUACCACAUCACAAUAUGAUGAUACCGACGCGUCUUUAGUUGGACCAGUGGUAAAAAGCUCGACUAAUCUGUAUUAUGAGGUAAACUGGUCAAUUACUCUUGCGUCCUUUUGAUAUAAAAAAAAAAAUAUUUUUCAAAAAUUGUAGAUAAUUCAGUUGCAAAAAAAAAAAAAAAAGUACUUAGCCCAUUUUUGAAAUUGAUUUUCUCUAUGUGAAUUACAUUAAAAAUUUGCACAUAAAUGUAUAACAAUAUUGAUGAAGAUGUACAUUACUUUCCUCCAAAAAAAAAAAAAAUUUCGUAGAAUAUGGAGCAAAGUCUUGGAGCUUAAAUAUACUCGAGCCCACAUAGCAAAAAGAGUGGAACCAAACCAAUGAUUAUGUGCCUAUUAGCUAAUUAUAAUGAGAAUUAGCCAAUUAUUAGUACAAGGAAAAUAUGAAGAUGAUAAACACCGAACUCUCGACUACUAAUUUUUUAAAUUUAUAAUUAUUCUAUAAUAAUUAUCCCAUAUUCUAUAAUAAUUAUCCCAUCUUUUUAUCGCUAUCUAUUUUUUCAGUAUUUCCACCUCUGAAGAUACAUUUCCUGAUUUUUAAAAAUUUCAAAGGAUAUAAAUAACGUUGAAAGGAGUUUUGUAUACAGCUCUAAAUUCAACAACAAAUUCAGCUAUAAUCUAAAAAUGUCUUUGGACAAAUAUACCCUCCAAUUCGCAAACUCCAUGGCUCACAUCUCCCCUUCGGAAAAAGGGUAUAACAGUCCAAGAAUUCCAAAAGAUACCCAAAAUUCGCCAAGUAUUUCCAGCAUACAUCCACCUAUGGAGGGGCAAAAUGGUAAUCACAACCUGACGGCAUCGACAGAACACGUCUCACGACAGUUAUGGCUAUGUUGUUAUAUUCUUCUUAACGUAGCCUAUAAAUUCUCUGCCACCAUUUCUCAGAUUUUGCCUAGUCUCUUCUUCAUCAUCUUCUUCAUCUUCUAUAUUCUUAUCCUAUAAUUUUACACUGAAAAGAUGAAGAAAAGCAGCAAUGGCCAAAAUCAAGAAAUUGAUGCAUUUUUAUCUGUAUCAAUUUUGUAAGAGUAUUUGACAACAUGGGCAACUGCUUUGUUAGGCCAAAACUUAAGAAAGUUGAACAUGUUAUGAAUCCUUACGCUUCUAAUUCCAAACUUAUGCAACCUCCUAACAACGUUGUCCUUCCCCCUAGAGGAUUCUCUGCCCCAGGUAACUUAUUUUAUUUGAAUUCAUUUUUUGUUUCUAAAUUUUUCCUAAUGAUUGCAUGCAUGCAAUUACUGGCGUUAUUUUGUAUCAAUUCCUACCUGAGAAUUUGGGUUCUUAUUUAUGGAUUGAAAGUUGAAAAUAGGUGUCUUUUCAUCGAUCAACCCUUAAAAUUUUCAUUGUAUGGCUAGUGUUUACAUCGUUUUCCCCGUAUGGAAAUUCAUCUGAAUUCUAAAGUUGGAGCUGUUCGUUGGGAGAAAGUGCUAAAUGGAGCAAUUUCUUGGGUUUUUGGUAGUAUUUCUUUGGUUGGGCCAUGUUGAAGAAGGCUUUACUCAGUAUGCUUUUGCACGCCACAAACAAUGUAGCAUUGGUUUUUAUGUCUCUGUGUACCAUGAUUGAUGAUCAAGUUGUUAAAGCUUACUUUUGGAAUUUUCUUGCUAUUGAUCUGUAUUCGUAAAUUGAUUCCUUUCUUUCAAGCUUUUUUUUUUUUUUUGUGUGAGAUGUUUAUUUCAAGGAAUCAAUUUAACUUCUAUUGAAUGACUUUAAAUAGGACUGUUUUUUCAAAACACUUCCAAGCAAGAGUUGUUUAGAAUUCUCAAUGCAGAGUGAAGGAGUUUGAUUUCUUCUAUAAAGAGUAUAAUUAGGCAAUUAUAUGCCUCGAAUAGUACACAUAAGAUUGAUACAUUCUGGUAAAAAUGGAGUUUUCUGCAGUUGUUUGAGAUGACUUCUUGUUAGAUUGUGAUAUAAAUUUGGAGUAUGUUUCAAAAUUAACGCAAACGUCCUUAAUUAGCAGCAUUAAUUUGAAAGGAUUACCAGGAAGACCACCUCUUUGGUGUGCCAAUAUGGUUUUGCUAGGACGAUCUAAGGUUUAUGAAGAGGUUAAGGCAUCAUCAUAAAACACCUUUAGGGACCAGUAUCAUGAUGAAAAACUUUGAGAUUUUUGCAAUUUACCCUUCUUAAAGACACCAUCGGUUUGAACCUUGAUGAACGCUGUCUUCAUUUUCUUCGUUUCAUAGUCAAGGAGUACAAGUGAAUUCCUAGCAGUUAUCAACUCUUCAAUGAAAUUGGUAAACUUAAACUAUCAGAUUCUAAUUAGUCAAACAAGAUCUUGAGGCAAAGAGUUACUAAAUAGAUUCAAAGUGAAUUCUAAAAGAUACUUUCAUCUCGAUGCCAGUUUAGCUGAGCGGCUUGGAUGAAAAUUGUUGUCUUAUAAGUGCCAUUUCAUAGAUUUCAGUUCUUACUUAUGUAGCCACAAGCAAGGAGAAAUAAACCAUAACAGAAAACUAGGUAAAUAACUUUAGCUAUCUAGUACACCUCCCACCAAUGUACGAAGAAGUGGUGGAAAGAUUGGUAUUGGGGGAAAAAUAGUUUAUUCAUGGAACUACUACAUUGCCCUUGACGACAACUAAAGUUAUGCAUUUCUUCCUUUUCCUCUUUUUCCUCAAAAACUUGUUGUAAUGUGUAUGCAAUUGUAUUUUGCGAAGUUCAAGAAGAAUUAUGAGUAAAUGUUUCACACUUUGAGUAGCAUUUUAUGGACUGAAUCUUCAAAUUGCUUAUGCUUCCUUCCCUCUUUUGGCAUAUGCUACAGAUUAAUUUUUAAGAACUUUGUCCUGAUACGGAUCUUAUAGAUCGUAUACCAUAUAAUAAUGAAGAAUCAAGCCAAAGAAUUGCUCAGUUAGAAAUUUUGGGAUCAACCAUUGGACCAUGGAGUCGAUCUUUACCAUGUUUACAUAGUAAUCUUAUCUCUUCUGCUUAAUUAUCAUCUUUACCCUUUUUUUUUGUCUUUUCUUGCUUCAGGUAUUGCAUUUCCUGACCAACGUAGUCAUCCUUUACCUAUGCCAACUCCAGCAGCGCAAACUUCAACAGAUAAGAAGAGAAGUGGAGUUUUACCAAAUCCGCCAACUCUAGCACCUCAAACUUCAACAGAGAAGAAGAGAAGUGUAGUUUUACCAAAUCUGCCAACUGAGAGUCAAAUUUUGGCAUCUCCCGGUCUAAAAUCAUUUUUGUAUACUGAACUUUGUAAGGCCACUCAAGACUUCUGUCCCGAAAAUCUCGUGGGUGAAGGUGGCUUCGGUUGUGUUUACAAAGGAUGGCUCGCAGAAGAUACCCUUAAUGCUGCAACACCUGGUUUAGGCAUGGCUGUUGCAGUAAAGAAGCUUACACCCCAGGGGUUUCAAGGCCACAAGGAGUGGUUGGUACGUAUCUUGUACAAAUUUCUCCUUUUGAGUUUUUGACUGAUAACACAUAGUUCCCUCCUUCGGCUAUGAAGUUUCUUUUCUGUUUCUGUUUCUCACGCUGAUGUCUGGUUGAGCAGUCUGAAGUAAAUCAUCUUGGCCGACUUCAUCACGCUAAUCUAGUCAAGCUUAUUGGGUUCUGCUUGAAAGGCGAAAACAGGCUACUAGUGUAUGAGUACAUGCCCAAACAUAGCCUGGAAAAUCAUUUAUUCAAAAGUAAGGAAUUUUAGUUUCAAGAAAAUUUGCUUGGCUACUAUCAUAUUGUAUGCAACACUAAGCACAUGUAGAACUAUAUUUAUCUUUCCAGGGUUUGCUAUGGUACAUUCAUUUCAGUCCAGCUAAAAAAUCAUCUUGAUUUGCAGGGUGCAGACAACCUCUCUCGUGGGAAACAAGGGUGAAGAUUGCUGUAGGUGCUGCUCGGGGCCUCUAUUUUUUGCAUAAUUCUGAACCGCCAAUCAUAUAUCGUGAUUUCAAAGCUUCUAAUAUUCUAUUAGAUUCGGUAUGCUAGGUUUUACUUUCCUUCUUUUGGGUGCAUAGAUGUUUCAUUUCAGGAAAUCAGCCAGAGAUUUUGAUUAAACAUGAGCUGUAUUUACUAGAGCAAAGUCUUUUCAGUAUUUUUUACAAUUUCCUGUUGCAUCUGUCCACUUACCUGGAUAACAAUGUCUUACCCCUCAAUAAUAACGCUAAAAGAACAGGCUGGUCAAAAUAUGCCUAAGAUGAGAUAGACAGAAACAGGACUAUCUGGAUGACCUCAAAUGGUUGGGACUGAUAUAGUUCAGACUUAAAUCAAGACCCUCUAACAGCUUUACAUUUGUAGGACCUUAAAUCUUCGAUCAUGUAUAUUUUUUAUUCACCGGCAGUUAAGCUGAUAGUGUUUGACAAACUAGUCACAGCUCCUAUCCAUCUAUACAGGAAUUUAAUGCAAAGCUUUCAGAUUUUGGCUUGGCGAAACAUGGUCCAACAGGAGAUCAGACGCAUGUUACUACGAGAGUCAUGGGAACUGAAGGUUAUGCUGCUCCAGAAUAUCUUAGAACAGGUUAAUCUUCUACCCUUCUGAUUAUAUAUAUAUUUUUUGUGUCCUGCUUCACAAGGAACGCCUGUAAAUUUACCCAAGAUGUGACAAAAGAAUUUUGAGCUUGAAACUCGAAAAGUUGCUGUCUUUGUGCUCAGCUGAUUGAUUAUUGUGUAUCAAGCGAGCAGGCCUCUAAGCGAACAUUAACUUCUUGUGAUAUUGAAUUUUUGGUUUCACCACUUUGAUGAUGUAUCCUUUUCAUAGAGCUAUAAUACUUUUGGUCCAUUUUUUGUGACUGUUGCCUUAUCUCAAGUUUGGCUUUGCUGACACAUGUUGCCCAUAAAAAUCAUACUGCGCAGGAUUAUUUUAUGUUUCUUUUGAUUUGAUUAUAUCACUUGGACCGUUUGGCCCCAAUGAAGUUCUACUUUCCAGUUUUAAAUGUAUUGACAGAGUUUGCUAAAAUUCUGUGCACAUAUGGGUUUAGGAUAUAACAGAAGCAAGUAAUACACUAUGGUCGUUUAUUGCAUCAGAUUGCUCCAUCCUGUCAAUUGAAUUCCACUUUAUAGUACCAGUUACUCCUGUCUAGAUGCAACUUUGGCUGAGAAAAUAAGGUUCUGAUCCUUCAGUUGGUUCACCUUGUUAGGAAUUCUCAUGUUGUUACUUUCUUUUUGUUACCUUAACAGGCCGAUUGAAUGUCAAAUGCGAUGUUUACAGCUUUGGAGUGGUACUUUUUGAGCUGCUGACGGGUCGAAUUGCUGUUGAUUAUAGAAGAGCUAAAGAGGAGCAGAAUUUGGUUAAAUGGGUAAGGCCUCACCUGCGUGACAAACGUACAAUAGCCAGGAUCAUGGACAGCAGGUUAGAGGGUCAGUAUCCCAGGAAAGGAGCUUAUGUUGCUGCUACUAUUGCAUUAUAUUGUGUGAAUCCGGAGCACAAAUAUCGGCCGCCUAUGGCAGAAGUCUUAGAGUAUUUGGAACACCUCCAAUCACCAAAGUUUCAGAAGUUACCCACUUCGUCAGAUUCAAUGCAACAAAUGCAGUCAAGUUCAAUAUCCAGAACUCCGCCGCCUGCACUUCACCUUUCACCUCCAAAUUGGUCACCUGUUAAUCGAUCACCACGUGGAUCUUGUAGACCACUUCCUCUAAAAUCCCCACACCACUCUCGAUUUUCAACUUACCUGGAAUCAUGACGAACAAUUGAAUGGAAGCAAAUUUUGCUUAUGAUGUUAAUUGUGAUCCAAAGUCCAACUGUGAAUAAAGCUCCAUGUGGGAAAAAUAUUUGUUUCAUCUUUACAAUUUUGAUACAGGUAAUAGCCUUCUUUGGAAAUACAAAGCAUAGAAAAGCAAAAAAGAUGGAGUGAGAACCUUUUUCCUUAGUUCCUUUGUUUCUUUUCUAUAGUUAUUAAAAUCAGUAUCAGCAUCAUUUUCCAUCCCGUCUCAUAGUCUGCAAUGGACACAAUCUCCUCAAUCUUUACAUAGAAAUGCAUGUCGUCAAGCUUUAAGUGCGUGGACUGGACUGUUUGAUUCUAUCCACUUGUGGAGAUGGUUUUGUACAGUGGUUUAGGCGGAAUUUGGCUCUUGUUUCUCUUUAGACAUGGUACUGAUCACCAGCAUAUUCGAAGUCAUUAUUAUGUAUGCUACCUUGUAUUCAGGGAAAGUAGGAAAUGCUAAUGAUCUCUACUUCUAUACAUCUUUAGUGCUGGGAGAGGAUUACGAGGACCAGGUGUUCACAGUUUGCAGGUGAAUAUGUUGAUGUAAUUGAGGUGACAAACACUUCGCGUUAUGAAACAGCCUAUCGAUCAUUGCAGGGUAAACAACUUCUCGAUGAUUGCUGAAGUAAUGUUCACGACCUGGAUUUGACUUAUAUUUGACCUGGAUCUCAGUAUGAUUGGGAAUUGUGCUCUUACCUUGGAAGGGAAGACAAAUAAGUUGAACGAAGGAAAAAGUUGAGUUAUUUGCCCGUGUAUUGUCUGCUUGAUUGCUCUUUGCAGCAGCAAGCUAGAUCAAAGCACUGCUAUGGUGCUGUGUAAAGUUCAGACCAUUGAGAGCCCUUCUCUGUAUCCAUGAGGAGAUGUAACAUGCUUUCCCACAGUUUUGUAAUGGCUCUACGAGGAAGUUACAUCUCAAUGUUUUGAAAAUCGAACAGGAUUGGCCAGUUCAACCAGUUAGACCGUGAACUGACCAUGCCUCCAACCCGAUUCAAUAAAAAAUCAAAAAAUUAAUUGAACGGAUCAAUCUCGGUCAAGAACUAGUUGAAUCAGUAAAAGAUGAUAAAACCUAGGUGGUUCAACCUGUUUUUAUUAAGUUUUUAUUUUUUAAAAUAAAUAUUUUAAUUUUAUUCAAAAUUUUUAAUACUAAAAUAAAUAAAAAAUUAUUAAACCUUUUGAACCAGUCGAAUCGAUCAAACUGCAAAUCAAAAAAAUUUUCGAUUCACUCUCCGGUCCGAAUUUAAAAACAUUGAGUUAGAAAUGGUAAAAAUUGUAGAUAUGUAAAGUAGCUUCUCAAAGAAAGGAAGAUUGAGAUAUUACUCAAUCAUUCAUUAGACCAUGGAGAUAGGGAACCACAUAAGCUUCAGCGGAACUUCCAUCUGUCAACAACUUCGUAAGUUAACAUUUAUUCCACUAGCAACAAGUGGAGCUUAAAAGAAAAACAAACUUUUGAUUUGACAAUAUUCAGCUGAUGUGACAAAUGACUAUUGAAAGUAGACUAAAGCACAGCAGUAAGGAUUAGGGGCGGGAACGGUCAUCAGAUGGACCGUCCUCGAGUGGUCUCCUCACAAGUGGCAACGAAAUGUAAGAAAUGAUCCACGUUAGGAAGCCUUCAGCAGGGACAAAAAAUGAUGUUGUUUGAUUUAGUGAAAAGGUAAACAAAAAAAUAGAAGAAAUGCUGACCGUAACAGACUCGUUACGAAACGUCAGCAUCGAGAAUUAGCAAAAUCCUGCUCAAAAUGAAUCGUUGAAAAUGAAAAGACCCAAUUACACUCCCUCGAAAACGAAGCAGUUGCCGAAAUCCACAUCUGCCAAAAAAUAGGGCAAGAUACAAGAGGAGAAAAUAACAGAGAAAAAUAGAAGAUUGGCAACAUACGUGCGACAUUGCGAAAAGAUGUAGAACUGCGGCAUUAUUGAAGAAAAAUCACAGCAAGGAUAAGCAAGAAGUGGUGGCAGAAGAACAAAUUUUUUGUGAUUAAGGUUUAUUUAAAGAAGAAGAAAGGUGAACCCAAAUUACAAAGUGGAAGAUCGUGGGAUCCGGAGUAGUGAUCGAGCACAAAGCAGUCAGGUAAAAUAUGAGAAAGUCUUAGGUGAUAUAGUAAUGUGCAUAGUUUGACAAAAAAGUGGAAGGACUUUACUUGUGGAUGUUUUUUGUGUACACUAUGAUGAUUGCAUAGAGGGAUGCUACGUGAACACGAUUUUGUGUAUAGUAAUUGAUAAGUGCAGCGUCAAAAGAGUAUUAUGUGUUAGUCUUUGAGCGUCGAAAUAGGAGAGUGGAAAAUCUUGCGGCAUAACUGCUUGAGAAAAUGUGUGCAUGGUAGGUGGAAAAAAUGGGUGUAGGUUGUAAUUACUAUGUGCUAAGUAGAUCGUACAACGUGUUGAGGGUAUCAUACACUGCGAAACCAAAUAGUCAGAAGAUCAUUCAGUGAAGGACGGCUCACACAGCACGUUGGAUGAGUAUUAUCUUAUGUGAAUAAAAAGUGACAUGGAAAAAAAAUGUUACAGUGUGUUAAGGUGUAAAACAUUAACAUAACAAAGUCAAAACAUGGUAUAUGUAAUACAUAGUAUAAGAAAAAAGACUAGAAAAUAACAAAAGUUAGGGGCGAAGGACAUAUUAUAUUGUAUUGUGAAAGUGCUACCUCCUGUAUGUGACCUGAGUCCCAUUUGAAAAAUAGGACCAUAAAAGAUGAAAUGGAUUGCAUGGAAUUUGAAGAUAGGAGAGUUGGCAAUAAUAUAAAUACGUUAGGCAGAAUAACAGACUGUUGUGCGUGUCAUUCUCAGCGUGCAAAAAAUGUUACAAGUUUCGUUAGUUUAUGGGCAACAAAACAAUGUUGGAUAGGUCUUACAUGUAGUGGAUGACUAGGUACAUAACAGAAAUAGAAUAGAAAUGUUAGUGUGAAAUUGGUAUGUUGUAUUUGAAAUUUCAUUGGUGUAUGUGUGUUGUAUUAGUUCAUGUGCAUGAACACAAUGUUGGAUAAGUCUUACAUGUUGUGGAUUAACAGGUACAGAGAAGAAAUAGAGUAGAAAUGUUAGUGUGAAAUUGGUGUGUCGUAUUUGAGACUUCAUUGAUGUAUGUUUAUUAUAUUAGUUCGUGCGCAUGAAUAUAAUGUUGGAUAAGUAUUACAUGUUGUGGAUUAAUACGUAUAGAGAAGAAACAGAAUAGCAAUAUUAGUGUGAAAUUGGUAUGUCGUAUUUGGGAUUUCGUUGGUGUAUGUUUAUUGUAUUCGUUCGUAUGCAUAAACACAAUGUUGGAUAACUCUUACAUACUAUGGAUUAAUAGGUACAUGACAGAAACAGAAUAGAAAUAUAAGUUUAAAAUUGGUAUGUCGUAUUUGGGAUUUCAUUGGUGUAUGUUUAUUGUAUUAGUUCGUGUGCAUGAACAUAGUUUUGGAUAAGUCUUACAUGUUGUGGAUUAACAUGUACAGAGAAGAAAUAGAGUAGAAAUGUUAUUGUACUCAAAUUAGUAGGUCAUAUUUACUACUACAUUAGCGUAUGUUUAUUGUAUUAGUUGCAUAAAGAUAUUGUUUAUUUUAUCAAAACUAAGAGGUAGGAGAGCAGAAUGCAAUUGAAAAAUGUUAGUUAGAAUAAAAAGUUGUCCAUCUGCUUGUUGAAAGAUAGAACAAAAUAUCGGUCACUUCUCUUAGUUAGUCGUUGUAUAGAAUGUGUUACUUAGAUUUGGAAGUAGUAUAUCAUGCGUAACUGUAUUUUGUACUGUAUUAUGGAGGUAAAAUCUUAAAAAUUGAGAAGUAGAAAAUUUGUAAUAAAUUUUUGUAACAAAUGAUUGUAGAUGGCACAAAAGAGAUCAAGAAAAUCACCUAAGAAAAUGAGCAGAGAAGAAGAAGGGGGAAUACGCUGUGAAAGGGAAAGCUAGACACCAUCAAAGGCAUUGAACAAGUAAGUGGGUAGUAUCUUUGCCUAAGCAUGGCCAAUAGGAAGUGACAUACAUAAAUUUGAUUACAAUGUUAAUGAGCAGACGCAGGAUGGCACGGAUAAGAAUCGGAAGACGGAACAAGAGUUUAGGUAAAAAUGAAGAAAUAGAGGUAGCGGGAACUAAUGAAAUCAGACAACCAGUUCCACCGUUGAAUCCGUGGAUGAAGUUCAGGUAAUGUUGAUGUUAAUUAAAAAUAAUAAUCAUGACUAAAACGCACAGUUAAUGGGUUUAUGUUUAACAUGUGUAGGAAGGAGUAUCAAAGCACUGUUCUAGUGAAAGGCAUUAAGAUAACAGAGGUAUGCAUGAAAACCUAAAUAAAGCAUUAAUCAACAAAAUUGUAACCUGAUAAAAAUAAAAAACACAAUUAGAAAAUGUUGAGUUGCAUAUAACAUGAUUCAUGAUUAUAUGCAUUCAAUACAGUAUAAUAAAAUGACCAAAGUAGCAUAUGAUAAGCUGAGCGAGAAAGAUGUACAGAAACGAAAAGAGAACUAUCGGAAAGAGAAAGAAGAGUACAAGAGAGAAAUGGCGCGGUUUGGAAAGGUUAUAUUGCCAAAAAAGCGGAUGAAGGUAAACACGAAGCAUGGCUGGUGAAAUAAGUUGUUUUGUGAUAUUCUGUGUAUGGCUAACUAGUUUUUUUUGUUGAACUUGAUUAUAGAAUCAGAAGUACACCAUUCAUUGUUCACCAAAUCAGAUGUUUUAGUUAACAUCAAACAUCAAUGAAACAAAAAAACAGCAAAUUAGAGAUAUAGGUUUUGAAGGGCUGCUGGAAAUAAAGUGUCGCUCUAUUCCGAAUGGCAUAGAAACCUGGUUGGUUGACAAUUUUAAUCCGACACUAAGUAGCUUUCAGUUACAUAGAGAUGGUGUGCUACCCUUAAUAGCAAAAGACAUCAGUUUAAUCCUUGAAAUCCUGAAUGACGGCCUUUUACCAGUUGAAGAUGCUCAUAGCAGUGAGGGUAGAGAUUCUGGGUCAAGUCGCCGAACAUACAAAUGGAAAGAGCUGCCAAAGGAGUUAGUAUCCAUGAGCGGUGGGAUACUAACUCCGUUGGCAGCUCUUUCCAUUUGUAUGUUCAGUGACUUAGUUCAGAAUCUCCACAUUCACUACUAUCAGCAUCUUCAACUGAUAAAGGCUAUCAUUCUGGAUUCCAAGAAUUAAACUGAUGUCUUUCGCUGUUAAAGGUAGCACACCAUCUCUAUGUAGCUGAAAGCUAUUUAGUGUCGAAUCAAAAUUGUCGACUAGCUAAGUUCCUAUGCCAUUCGGAAUGGAGCGACACUUUAUUUUCAGCAGCCCUCCAAACCUCAUAUUUCUGAUCUGCUGUUUUUUUGUUUCAUCGAUGUUCGAUGCUAACCAAAACAUCUAAUUUGGUGAACAUCGAAUGGUGUACUUCUGAUUUUAUAAUCAAAUUCAAAAAAAAAAGAAAACUAGUUAACCAUACACAGAAUAUCACAAAACAACCCAUUUCAGCAGUCAUGCUUUGUGUUUACCUUUAUCCACUUUUUUGGCAGUAUAGCCUUUCCAAAUCGUGUCAUUUCUCUCUUGUACUCCUCUUUCUCUUUUCAAUAGUUCUCCUUUCGCUUAUGUUUAUCUUUCUCGCUUAACUUAUCAUAUGCUGCUUUGGCCAUUUUAUUAUACUGUAUUGGAUGCAUAUAAUUGUGAUUCACGUUAUAUGCAACUAAGCAUUUUCUAAUUAUGUUUUUAUUUUUAUCGGGCCACAACUUUGUUGAUUAAUACUUUAUUUAGCUUUUCAUGCAUAUCUCUGUUAUCUUAACGCCUUUUGGUGGAACGGUGCUUUGAUACUCCUUCCUACACAUGUUAAACAUAAACCCAUUAACUGUGCGUUUUAGUCAUGAUUAUUAUUUUUAAUUAACAUCAACAUUACCUGAACUUCAUCCACGGAUUCAACGGUGGAACUGGUUGUCUGAUUUCAUUUGUUCCCGCUGCCUCUUUUUCUUCAUUUUCACCUAAACUCUUGUUCCGUCUUCCGAUUCUUAUCCGUGCUAUCCUGCCUCUGCUCAUUGACAUUGUACUCAAAUUUAUGUAUGUCACCUCCUACUGGCCAUAUUUAGACAAAGAUACUGCCCACUUACUUGUUCAAUAUCUUUGAUGGUGUCUAGCCUUCCCUUUCACAGCGUAUUCCCCCUUCUUCUCUGCUCGUUUUUUUAAGUAAUUUUCUUGAUCUCUUUCGUGCCAUCUACAAUCAUUAGUUACAAAAAUUUAUUACAAAUUUUCUGCUUCUCAAUUUCUAAAAUUUUACCUCUAUAAUACAGUAUAAAGUACAGCUACGCAUGAUAUACUACUUCCAAAUCUAAGUAACACAUUCUCUACAACGACUAAAUAAGAAAAAGUACCGAUAUUUUGUUCUAUUUUUCAACAAGCAAAUGGACAACUUUUUAUUCUAAUUAACAUGUUUCAAUUGCAUUCUGCUCUCCUACCUCUUACCUUUGAUAUAAUAAACGACAUCUUUAUGCAGCUAAUACAAUAAACAUACACUACUGUAGUUGUAAAUAUGACAUAUCAAUCUGGGUACAAUAACAUUUCUACUCUGUUUCUUCUCUGUACCUGUUAAUCCACAAUAUGUAAGACUUAUCCAACAUUGUGUUCAUGCGCACGAACUAAUACAAUAAACAUACACCAAUAAAGUCUCAAAUACGACAUACCAAUUUCAACCUAACAUUUCUAUUAUGUUUCUGUCCUGUAUAUGUUAAUCUACAAUAUGUAAGAGUUAUCCAACAUUAUGUUUAUGUACACGAACGAAUACAAUAAACAUACACCAACGAAAUCUCAAAUACGACAUACCAAUUUCACACUAACAUUUCUAUUCUGUUUCUUCUCUGUACGUAUUAAUCGACAACAUGUAAUACUUAUCCAAUAUUAUGUUCAUGAGCACGAACUAAUACAAUAAACAUACACCAAUGAAGUCCUAAAUACGACACACCAAUUUCACACUAACAUUUCUAUUCUGUUUCUUCUCUGUACCUGUUAAUCCACAACAUGUAAGACUUAUCCAAUAUUGUGUUCAUGCACAUGAACUAAUACAACACACAUAUAUCAAUGAAGUUCCAAAUACAACAUAUCAAUUUCACACUAACAUUUCUAUUCUAUUUUUGUAAUGUACCUAUUCAUCCACUACAUGUAAGACCUAUCCAACAUUGUUUUGUUGCCCAUAAACUAAUGAAACUUGUAACAUUUUUUGCACGCUGAGUAUGACACACACAACAGUCUGUUAUUCUGCCUAACAUAUUUAUAUUACUGCCAACUCUCCUAUCAUCAAAUUUCAUGCAAUCCAUUUCAUCUUUUAUGGUCCUAUUUUUCAAAUGGGACUCGGGUCACAUACAAGAGGUAGCACUUUCACAAUACAAUAUAAUAUGUCCUUCGCCCCUAGCUUUUGUUAUUUUCUAGUCUUUUUUCUUAUACUAUGUAUUACAUAUACCAUGUUUUGACUUUGUUAUGUUAAUGUUUUACACCUUAACACAAUGUAACAUUUUUUCUCCAUGUCACUUUUUAUUCACAUAAGAUAAUACUCAUCCAACGUGCUGUGUGUGCCGUCCUUCGUUGAAUGAUCUUCUGAUUAUUUGGUUUCGUAGUGUAUGAUACCCUCAACAUGUCGUACGAUCUAUUUAGCACAUAGUAAUUACAAUCUACACCCAUUUUUUCCACCUACGAACUUCCAAACUCAUGCACACAUUUUCUCAAGCAGUUGUGCCGCAAGAUUUCCCACUCCAGUUUCGACGCUCAAGGACUAGCACGUAAUACUCCUUUGACGCUGCACUUAUCAAUUACUAUACACAAAAUCAUAUUCACGUAACAUCCCUCUAUGCAAUCAUCAUAGUGUACACCAAAAACAUCCACAAGUAAAGUCCUUCUACUUUUUUGUCAAACUACGCACAUUACUAUAUCACUCUAGGCUUACUCAUGUUUUACCUGACUGCUUUGUGCCCGAUCAUUACUCCAGAUCCCACGAUCUUCCACUUUGUAACUUGGGUUCACCUUUCUUCUUCUUUUAGUAAACCCUAAUCACAAAAAAAUUGUUCUUCUGCCACCACUUCUUGCUUCUCCUUGCUGUGAUUUUCCUUCAACAAUACCACAGUUCCACAGCUUUUCGCAAUGUCACACGUAUGUUGCCAAUCUCCUAUUUUUCUCUGUUAUUUUCUCCUCUCGUAUCUUGCGCUAUUUUUUGGCAGAUGUGGAUUUCGGCAACUGCUUCGUUUUGGAGGAAGUGUAAUUGGGUCUUUUCAUUUUCAACUAUUCAUUUUGUGCGGGACUUUGCUAAUUCUCGGUGCUGACGUUCCGUAAUAGGUCCAUUACGAUCAGCACUUCUUCUAUUUUUUUUUACCUUCUCACUAAAUCAAAUGGCGUCGUUUUUUGCCCCUGCUGAAGGCUUCCUGACGUAGAUCAUUUCUCAUCUUUCGUUGCUGCUUGUGAGGAGACAGCUCGAGAACGGUCCAUCUGAUAACCGUUCCCGCCCCUAAUCCCAGCACUAAGGAACCUACAACUUUAAGCGUCCAAUUCAAUGAAAAAUAUAUAAAAUUGAAACUGCGCACUUUCAAUUUGAAUAAGGAUAAGGGUAAAUGUGCAUCACAUUUUCAAGAUCUUCAUUUGCUUCUACAAGGUAAACUUAUAAAAUUUGAGUUUUUUGGUGAGUAUCAUGCUAACAAAAAUGCUUUUAGUUGCUUUUAUGAAGUUUUGCUUAGGGUUAAAUGUCGAAAACCUCCAUGAAUUAUAGUAUGAGUUGCACUUUGUACCCUGAACUAUUUUAAUGAGCGCUUUACACCAUUGGUCAACUAAACAAUGAUGAAAAAAAUAAGUCUAGCCAAGUAAUUGAUUAAGUGACCGAUUUAUCCUCCAUUAAAAGUUUAAGUGACAAAAAUACUCUUUUAGCAAGAAAAAUUUUCACUUUAGAAAGACUAAUUUUAGCUUCAUAUUAAAAGUUUAAUUGAAAAUAUUUACAUAAAGGGGACAAAAUAUGAAAAAAAUUUGAAGAACUACUGUUACAAUUUCUAAAAUCUCAUCAUCUUGGUUAGCACAUCAUAAUGCCAUAUCUUCACGUAAUAGCAAAAAUUACUUGAAAUCUUACAAGAAUUUAAAUGAAGUAUACCCAAAAAAGAUUAUAUGAAUUUAGCACAAUUAUAUCAGCAAAGGUUCAAUACUACACCCAGAUUAGAACUGGGAAACAAAAUAAUGCACCUAGAAAUUAAAAAAAUUAAAUUAGUUUUAUGCAUAUGAAAAGAAAUUAAAGGUACAGUUCAAAGUUAGAGAAAUAAUUGUCAUUCAAAAUGACCUCCUCCCCUUCUCCCUCAAUAUAUUGAUUUUUAUAUGUUUCGGUAGUCGAAUGUUGAGAAAUUAAGAAUUGAAAGGUUUCCCUUCUUUUGCUUGUAUCAUAAAUACAUUUUCCAAUUUACCCUUUUAUAUUUCCAACCAUCUUUUUAUCUCACAUAUAUCACAUCACAAAAAGUGUUACAGUAAUUAUUCCAAAUAAUUACUUAGAAUAAUGCUCUAUCCAAACAAAGCCUUUGUUUUCCUUCAUUUCUUUCUUGAGCCGGUCCGUUUGUUUGUUUAUAAAUAUUCAGCUGUCAAACUAUUUAUCCUGUGAGUCAUUUUCCUAAAUUGCCAGUUAAACUUUUAAUGGAGGAUAAGUUGGUUAUUUCACUAAUUAAAUAAAUGGAGUUAAUUAAUUUUUCUGUCAAUUUUUAGAUGACUAAUAGGGUAAAAUGACUAUUAAAAUAGAUUAUAGUGUGAAGCGCAAUUCUUAUAAUAGUUAGUAGGGAUUUUUUUGCAUUUAACCCUUAAUAAAAUGUCAAUUUCAAUGUAAAACAACCAAAUUGCCAACACCUCAUUAUUGCAUUUUAUCAAUGUAAUGAAGAACCGUAAAUAAUGAAAAAUUUUGAAUAUAUCUUUAAUAAUAGGUCUGAAAUAGGAAUUGGAGUACAACAUGACAUGUCAUCUUUCUUAUUUUUUAUUUUUAAGAAAUCAUAUUUCAUAUUUUUGGUAAAUUAAUACUUCAAUUUCUAUAUUUUUUUUGAUAAAUAUCUACUACUUUUUUUGGACAUACUACUCCUUAUUUCUUUUUGUUUUCUUCGAUAAAAAUAUCUACUAUGUUUCUUAAACCUAUAUGAACUAUAUUGAGGACAUUUAUUUUCUACACAUACAAAAAGUUAUUUUGUCAUUAGAACAUUUUAUCAAGUCAAGUGAUACCAAAACCUUUCGAGAAUUCCUAAUUGUAGUAUAUGGUAAUUUAGUUUAGGCCCAACCCAAACCGUUAUUAUUCAAGUUCACUUUUUUUUUCCUUUUCUUUUCUUUUUCCUCUGAAGAAAAUUUAAAUAAUAUAUAAAAGAUUAAAUGCAGAAAAUUUCUGUGAACUAUUACGCUAGUUGUACCAUACACCCUAAAUUAUUUUAUUAGGCACUUUACACUCUUGGUCAACUAAAAAAUAAUAAGACAAUUAACUGCAUCCAAAUAAAUUGAUGAAAUGACCAAUUUAUCCUCUAUUAAAAGCUUACAAAUAUCAAAAAUACCUUUUUUGGUGGAAAAAUAUUGCCACUUUAAAUGGAUUAAUUUUCAUUUUAUAAUAAAAUUCUAAUUGAAAAUAUAUAACAAUAAAAUAUAUGAUCACUUUGAAUGAAAGUUAAAACAAAAGAAGUAGGAUAAAGGGAAGAAAGGGAAUAAAUUGAAUUCAAAAGUCUCAACAACCCUAUUUUACUACAUAUUUCAAGUUAACCUAUGUAAGAAAAGAUUGCUACCAAGGAAAAGGCACUGUGAAGUCCUGUUUAUUCCUCUAAUUUUGUGCAAUACUUUCAUUUUAUUUCUAUAUGCAUAUAACAAAUUAAAUAAUUUAGGUGUUUUAUUGAAACAUCUGAGUCCAAUAUUUUGUUUACUAAAGUAUGGGUUUUAUUUUACGUUUGGUAUUUUAAAUCUUUGUUAUAAUUAUCGUGCUAAAUUCAUAUGAAAAUUUUUCGGUUUUACUUCAAUUUUAUUCUUGUGAAGAUUUCAAGUGAAAUUUUACUAAUUAUAUGAAGCUCUGGUAUUAUGAUGUGCUGAAGAAAAUUAUAAUUUUAAAAAUUAUGAUUUUUCCAUAUUUUCCUUUCAUUUGACCACAAUAGUCUUAAUUCUUAUUCAAAGCGAAGCAAUAAUACACACACACAUACUUUUUGUUAUAAAGUGAAAAGUUAGUCUAAUUAAAGUAGUAAUCUUUUCCACCAAAAUCGUAUUUUUGCCAUUUAUGUUUUUAUUGGAUAAUAAAUUACUUGAAUGAAAUUAAUUUCGUGUUAAGUGCCUAUUAAAAUAUUUUAGGGUGUAAAGUGCAAGUAGUACAACAAUUUGUGGAUUUUUUUUUUUUUUUUUUUUUGCAUUUAACCCAAUAAAUAAGCACGCUAAUCGAGCAAAUGCAGAAAAUGCCAGGAGUCAACAUUCAACAAUAAAACUCAAGAAACAUUGCAGAGGUUUCAUCUCAAUGGGCUCUCCUGUCUAUUUCUCCACAUAAACCUCAGGUUUCUUUAAAUUUUAUAACCCUUCUUUUCUUUUUCUUUCUAAUUUUUUUAAUCUUUUGGAUAUAAACAGCAUAAAGCUUUAAAUUUUCAUUCUGUCAAGUUAAUAGUUUUUGUGAAUUGUUGAUUGAAUUAUGGUUCUAUGGAAUUUUUCAGAUAGUGGGUUGUAAUUAAAAUUGGAGAAAUUUGAUUUAAAUUACUUGGAAAGAUUGAAAAAGAUAAGAACAAUAAAAGGAAGAGGGAGGAGGGAUGGUGCUGGUUUUAGCAUUGGGUGAUCUUCACAUCCCCCACAGGGCACCUGAUCUGCCUACAAAGUUCAAGUCUAUGCUAGUACCUGGAAAGAUCCAGCAUAUAAUCUGUACUGGCAAUUUAUGUAUUAAAGUAAGUAUCUUUUCUUUGCCCCUUUUACUCAUUCAUUUAUUUGUUAAUUGGUUCUUGAAAAGUUUCCAGAGGUAAGCUAGGCAAGGGUGAGAGACCAAUGGAGUUUUUAGGACGGAGUUUUAGUUUGAUUUUCAGUUUUUAGUUCCAAUUUUGCAGACUGGUUUUUUUAAGUAAAUUGUUGUUCGGGAGUGAAUUUAUCUUAGUUCCUUUGUUUUGUGGUUUAGUUAGGAAAUGAAAAUUUAACUUCCAAGAAAAAGCAGGAGCUCGUUUUUGGUUUUGAAGGAAUAUAAUAAGCGAACUGUACUGUACUCGGUCAACAAUAAAAGCUUCUCGUACUGGUGGAGUAUUCAUGAGAGGUGAUGCAGAAAAUAUGUGACUUGGAAAAGUAAUACUCAGUGAGGAUUUAGUUCUGCUGACAUGUAGUCUAGAGAGUUAAGAUGUUGCCAUAGAGCUAAGAUAUUGUGCAUAAUGUCAUAUUUCCACCAAAAAAGUUUUCUUUUGGCAUCAAUUGUAUUUGAAAGUUAGAGAUGAAUACUUAAUUUUUUACAUGAUUUGCCUUUCGGUUAUCUUAUAUUUUUUGGUUAGUUUUUGUUUUAUGUGAUUUAACAAUUUCUCAAAUUUUUUGUCCGCAUUGUAGUUCUUCUCAGGUACUACCAUUUAAUCGACUACUGAUAGCAAUGUCCUCAAAUGCAAACUUCUGUAAAUACUGUGGAACAAUUCACUUGCAUUAGUAGUACCCUAAUUGUAUAAAUGCAUUGCUGUCUAGAUGCAGUUUAAAACCUAUGUGUAUUUAUUCACUUUAUGAACUUUGAAUGCCAACUUUUUCUGUCAAACACUUCAACUUGAAAUGCUGUUGGAGAGUCAAGGGAAGAGUAAAUCCAAAAAAAUUUUGAGAUUUGUUUAAGCUGUUGUUUGAGCUUCUGGAAAAGUUUAAAGCAGUUUUAACUCUUCAAUAGACUACUCAGCGUUCAGGUUCAUUGUCUUUAUGGUUAUUGAUUAGUGUAAUUUUUGUAAAUUCAAAAAUUCAUCCUGUCAAAUACUUCUUACCAAUUAAGGAACAGGUUAAGGAGUCUAGGAAAAUUUAGAUUUUGUAUAUUAGGCAAUAAGCAUGGUGUCUAAUUGGGAGUCCUCACCACAGAAGGAUAAGCAUUAGCUUAUGGAAAUUUUUGGGAUAAGUAAUCAUGCAUCUUUUAUUAUCUGCAUCUUGAAAUACCAUAAUUGUGCUUUUGAUAAAGUGUUGUUCAUGAGCUUCCCUUGGUUAUAAAGUCAAUAUUACCUCUGAAGGUCGUUUCAAAAACUAUAUGUAGGUUCCUAGAAGUUCUUCUUCUUCUUUUUCUCUUAAUGAACUGUUUGUUGCUUCAAGAUGGUCCUGAAAUAUGUUGAUUUGGUUGUUUGAUUUGCUGGAGCAUUUCCAAAACUUGUUAAACACCACUUACAUUUCCAUGCAAUAAUGUUGGGGGGGGGGUGGGGGUUAUGCAAGAGUGCAUUGCUGCCAAGUAAAUCAUGUGUAUCUAGAUCUGAUUCAUAUAGGAAGAUCUCAAAUUUUUUGGUCAGAAAUCUAACAAGUGAAGGCUUAAUAAACAUCAGUGGCAUGGUAUUAUUAUUCGUUUUUUGAUGAGUAUGGGCCUGAAUUAUUUUUGCAAGUCGAAGAAGGGAAAUUAGAAGAACCAUAGAGUUUAGUUUCAUUAGAAAAAGAAAGCUUUUUUAUCUCUGAUACUCAAACAGCGUAAUCAGAUAUGGUCAAAUUGUGCAGAAAUAAGUAAUCAAGUAAAAAGUGUGGUGGGGAGGAACUGUCAAAAAUCUCAAAAAUUGGGAAUUGGCCAUAGAAAGGGUUCUGGGCAUAAGAUUUUUCAAUACAGAGUGAUUUUAUCUUGUCAUCAAAAUCUUAGCCUAGAGAAAUAAUGAAAAUUUAGUAAAGAUCUGGUCUUAUUAACAUAGCUGAAAGGGUGAAAUAUUCAAAUUUCUCAAUCUUAAUUUGGUACUUUAAUGAUAUUGUCUAGUUAUUUGAAGCUGGUUUCUUAUAAUGUAAGCAAAUCUUGGAUAAGAUUUGAUUUAUAACAUUGAAUAGUUUGGUUUCCAAUUGUUUACUUACUAAGUGCUUGAGCAGUGCUUAAGCGAGCUUAGCUAUAUUGGAAACAAUUAAAAAGCUCAAAAGUGGCUGGAUUUAGUUUAUCAAUCAAAAUUUAAAUACAGUUUUCCCCAGAUGCAAGCUAAAUUUCAAGUAGCUUUGAAAUUGUAAUCAGCAGUGUAGUAGUUAUAAAUCUAUCGAAAUGAAGUUCUUGUGGUUGAUAGUUGGCAUGUUGGAUGAACCAAAGCAAUACCAAUGUCAAUUUAGCUGCUACUUAUAGCUCUGUGAGGAGGAAGGCAAGAUAUCCAUAAAAACUUGUUAGGUCAGUACUGAUAUAAUAUUUUUGAGAAUCAAACAGCUAUAUUGACAACUGAAUGAAGAGUAUGAAAUGCAAGAGUAACAUUUUGCUUUAGAGCCAUUGGAGGUUCUUCUCGUACCUUAGAAGUCCCCUACUGCUAAGCCUUACUGUCAAAGGACAGGUGCACUUUAGCAGCGGAAGAACAUAUGGCUGCUACAGUCAAUUGAUAGAGAUACAGGAUGUUAAGCUCAAAGAGACAACCUUUUGGGUGUCUUUCAGUCUGAAAGAAGGUUCGUAUUGAUAGAGACUUGGAAAGGAGAGAAAGGAAUAUGAGUAGAUAAUGUGCAGGAGCUUUUCAAAGUUAGAUCUCUAUUUCGUAUCCGCUAUGAUAAGUGUGACAUGAAAGAUUUCUUUGUAGUGGGGAUGCAUUUGUUUAGACUUCAUAUGAUGCUCUGUUAAUUUGCCUACUUUUGAAACUAAGGGUCUUAGUGGUAAGCAAUUCUUUUCUUGAGUCUUCUUGUUGUCCAUUUAGUUGGUUUUGCUUUAUUUUGAUGUACUGAAGUUAAAAUUUCCCUGUAACUGUAUACAUGAGGAGUUGAAGGACAUGAGGAUCGCUUGCUUAUGAUUUGGGUGAGUAGGAUGUAAUUUUCAGCAAGCUGUUGCCUAGAGGAUCAUCCAUGCAUACUUAUCUAAUUCUGUACAUGUUAGAAACUAAACCUUCUUUUUAUUUCCUUUUUGUAGCAUUUGGUAAUUAUUCAGCUGUGAACCCUGCUUGUUUAAAGAACAUGCCAAAUCAGAGGAGAGAAAGAUUUAAAGGAAAGAAAAUUAAAUUAUAUAUAGAUGGAAAAUAACUCAAUUGUAGGUGUCUAUCAGAUUAUUCAAGAGAUUAACUCCUGACAUGCUUUUACUUGGGCUUUGUCACAAAAAUCUUCAGCAAUUUGGUGGCAUAGGCUUCAUGGUUGCAAGGCAUUUUUUUUUUCUGUCGAACUGAUGAAGUUAAAUCUUCAGUUCUCGAAAGCACUUGAGUAGAGAUGUUUUACAAACUCUCCUUAGUUUUUUCCCCCCAAUAACAUGUGGAUCAUUGAUCCCCUUCUAGUUAUAUCCCUAAUGCUAUGAUUUUCGGAGUCAUUCGUAGUGGUUCAUUUGGAAAGUUCAUUCAAAUGUGUGAUUUCCAAUAGCAGGUUCCUUCCUGGUAGCUGGCUUUCUGACUUUUGUAGCAUGUUUAUUACUAUUUGGACAAUAUCCAAUGUAAUCUUAGGACUUGGUAUAAUCUUUGUGUAAACAUUUUUCUACACUUUCCCUGUGAAGUUUCGAAAUACAAAUGUAUUUUGCCCUUUUUUCUUAUUUUAUUUUUAUGUACUAUCGGUAUAUGGCUUCUAGCAGAACUAUCGUAAUGUUUGGUAUGCUGUUUACAGGAGGUUCAUGACUACUUGAAGACCAUCUGUCCUGACCUGCACAUCACUAGAGGUGAAUAUGACGAGGAAACACGCUACCCAGAGACCAAAACUCUAACCAUUGGUCAAUUUAAACUUGGAAUAUGCCAUGGCCACCAGGUCUGAUUUCCUUUUCUUUCUUGUGAUUCUUCUGCUUUAGUUGAACUUAACUUGGGGUCGUGCAUUGACCUCCUGGGGUCAGGCUGACCUCUAAUUGGUAGUAGAUAGAACUUCAUCUAACUAAUUUAAUAUUGCAAUAGCAGCUUUUGUGCGUCCUCUUCAGCAUUUGCUAUAGUGGUAGACUUGAUAGCAUCAAAACUGUCUCCUCCCUUGAGCCUAAGAACCACUGCCCCGCCCCCCCUUUCUCCAUACCUCAGCACGCCAUAUGAUAUGCCAAUGUAUAGGUUUCUGGCUGCAAAUAAAAUGCUGGUUUUAAUCUGAUCUUAUCAUAAUCUUUCUGGAAUUUUGCCUUUCUGAAGGUUAUUCCAUGGGGGGACCUGGACUCACUGGCCAUGCUUCAGAGACAGCUGGAUGUUGAUAUUCUUGUGACUGGUCAUACACAUCAGUUCACAGCAUAUAAACAUGAGGCUGGGGUGGUAAUAAACCCAGGAUCUGCCACUGGUGCCUACAGUAGCAUCACCUAUGAUGUCAAUCCUAGCUUUGUGCUGAUGGACAUCGAUGGCCUUCGUGUUGUUGUCUAUGUUUAUGAACUAAUUGAUGGAGAGGUAAAAGUUGAUAAGAUCGAUUUCAAGAAAACAACAGCAUCUGCAAACUCGGCUCACUGAUGACAUGAUGCUGCUGUUUUGGACUACAUAAAUUUGUUCAAGCUUAGCGGUCCAUUUGCUUGUGUGUAUGUUUGAGCUUUAGCUUUACUUCAAUGUGGAUUUUCGUGCGUGCCCUCUUCCUUUUUCUUACUUUUCAUUAUACCUUAGUUGGUCCGAUGAUAUUUUGAGAGGCUGUAAUUAGAUGAUAAAAGGAAUGAGGCUUUAUUGGAUGGUUUAUUCAUUCAUUUAUGAUCCUUUAUGACGCUAACUCCCCAUUCUAUCUUCAAGCUUUCUUUACUUUGUACCAAGUAUAUCUCAGUGUAACCAGCUACUGCUGCUUCCCUCACCGUCUUAGCCUUGCGCCGCAAAAUGCCAUCAUCCUCCUAUGUUUCCAGGGAUCCUUUUUAACUCAGGCACUGUAUGACAAUCUCCUGCAUUUGCUAAUGCUGCUCGAAUGAAAGGUCGUAAUAUAAAAGGAUAUGGCACUUCUUUCUCUGGUUCUUUGGAGGGGCCAAAGGUCCUGAUCUACGAUUAUAUCCCGGGAAAGCUACCCUGAUGUCUGCUCCCUGCAGUUAUCUAGCUUCGUUAGGUGAAUCUCUCAGAAUCAUUGCCCCACAAGGAUCAUUGUACAGGCUGGUUUUUACCAGGACAUCUUUACAACUGUUCCCUUCCCCCCCCCCCCCCCCCCACAGCAGUUUUCUAACUUCAUUAGGUGAUUCUCUCAGAAUCAUCACCCCAGGAUCAUUGUCAAGGCUAGUUAUCAGCAGGACAUCUGCACAACUGUUGCCUUCCCUCCAAAUGAGCUCCAAAUAUGGCGCUCAUUUGCCACCACAGAAUCAGUUUCCUGUUUCCGGUAUCACCUUCCUAACUCUCAAAUUCCAUGCCAGCCACAGCCCGUACGUUAUAGCCCAUAACUGAGUAGCUAUAUUACUAACAAGUAGCAAUUCUAAAGAUUAUGGCAAUUCGCAGAAGUCAAUUGCCUAGGCUGUGAAUUUGUUCAUAUUUGCAUGGUGCAAGCUUAGCAAAUAAACUUAUCACUGCUUUCUUCGUUAAAAUUAUGUGGCUAGAUAUUAACGUUUAAGUCAUGUGCUACUAUGGAUUAAACACUAGGCACAAAAUUAUCUAGGGAAAAUUAUUUAAAAUGUCGCUCACAGUUCGCCAACUAAAUUUUUUCAACCUUCGCUUUUAAAAUAUUAAUUUUACGUCCCUUGUAAAUUCAAGUUAGCAAAAUUUAAUCCUAACCUAAGUUUCUAACUGUUUUUUAGCCUGAAAUUACCGUAUGACUUACAUGCAAUCAUUUUUUAUAGUAUACAGAAAGAUCACUUUUUAUUUUUUUAUUUUUUAGUGGCAAAAAUGAAUAUGGGUUGGUCAGAUCCCACUUUUUUAGAGGAAAAAAAAUUAUUAGAGUUCGUGUUAGAUCCUACUUUUUAAAGGACAAAAAUAAAUAUGGAUGGAGUCAUUUGUUUAGCUACAAAUGCAAUCUAACCUUUUUGUCCUUUAAAGAAAAAAAAACUAUAUAUGGGUCAUAUGAUGAAUUUAGAAUAAAACAUCAAAUUUUACCGACUUGAUAUUAUAAGAGACAUAAAGUUACCAUUUUAAAAGUGAAGAAUGAAAAAAAUUCAUUUUUCGAAAUGUUAGGAAUCUUUUGAACAAUUUUUCCAACUAUCUAUAAGAAAAUGAAUCUAGUUCUGAUUUUCAUACAUUUAUUUAUGGUCAUUCAAACGAACCAAAACUUCCUUUAUUUCUCCUGCUUGGAGACAGAUGUCGUUCCCAUGAUUACAAGCUAUUUUCUUCUAAACGAUACUUUUAAUCCUGAGCUCUAGAUAUUUUGAAAUCAACCAGCAGAAAUAGAGACCCUGAAUCAUCUUUUAAUUAUCAUAUCAUUGCUUAGAUAUAAACAAGCCAUGCAAGGGCAUGAUUAUGCAAAAAUAAAAUAUGCACGGAGAAAAAUUCGUUAAUUAUGAGUAUAUACACACCAACUAAUAAAAAACGAUUUGUCUAACGGUACCCAUAGGGCACUCGUCAAGAUAUAUUUCAGGUGUUAUAUUUUUGAAAAUAUAAAAUUAAUUAGAAAAAGUAAAUAAAUACAAGGGAGGAUAAGCAAGAUUAAAUAGGAAAAGUGUAUAAAUACAAGAGCGAAUAAUAAUUAUUAGUAUAUAUAUACAUAUAUAUAUAUAUAUAUAUAUAUAUAUAGUAGGUUAGGUGAAUACUAGGUAUGUUAAUGAGUGCCCUAAGGGCAUCCGUUAGAAAAAUCCGAUCAAAAAUAAUAAUAAUAAAAAUUUGUUAUUAAUAAGACCAGGGACAAAACUAUCUACGAGGAUAUGAACCUAGUGCAAAAAUAAGCUUCGCAUGGAGAAAAAUUGGUUAAUUAUGAGUACAUAUAGAGCAACUAGUAAUAAAAAUUUGGUACCUUACUAGAGGUUCUUCAUCAAAUAAAAAUCUAUUGGUCUCCUAUGACAUGAUUAAUUUUUUUUCCGUACGAAGAAUCUAAUUUUCCAAAAGGCAAACAAACACAAAUAUGAGAUGCAUGCAUUUUCGAUGCCCUUUACCGGGAAUAAGUCAAGAUUAAAAUUCUGUGAAUAUAUCUCCAAAUAUUUCUAGGCAAAUACAAGGUGGUACAAACACCAUGUGCUUAAGAAGAAAACCUUGAUCAUUUGAUGGUAACAAAUCUCUGUAUGUAUAUUUUCUUGAUGUUCCCACAAAAUUUUAUAGAGAGUAAUUCUUAAUUGCAGCAUUGUUUAGUUGGCAAGCUCAUCAAUGAGACAUAUAUGUACCCAAAUAGUUCCAGCUGAUAAUAAGUAUCUGAGGUCGGUUUUAGUUGCCACAUUGCUCAUUUCUUUUCAAAAUUCUCACAAUCCCAACUUUCCUAAAAACUGCCAUUUAAUUACUCAAUUAAUACACAAAAUCUUGAUAAUAAUUAAUCAAAUCUCUGGACUUGCCUAGGAUGUUUAUAUAUAUGAAGAACUGAAUUGGGCAUUCUUCAGAAACCAUUCUCGAAAUUCUUGUGUACCAAAAAAAAAAAAAAAGGUCAUUAUUUUCUUGGAUUUUUUUCUUUCAAACUUUAGAGAAUGGAGCAUGAAGCUGAUACACCAUCUGAUGAUUUUUGUGAUGCCUGGCAGGCUGAUCAUCUUGAAAUACCCAAAACUGAUCAACCUGCACCAUCCGAUGAUGGUGAUGAUGAUACUCAACAAUUCUUCAUCAAAUUUAAGGUGGAGCUCAUCUAUCCACCAGACAUCACAUUAGAAGAUGAUGAAGAUUAUGUGCUAGUUGAAUUUGGUUUGGAAAGCAGCACCUCAAUUCACCAAUUUUGGGCUCCUUGCAAAAGAUCAGACAGUGAAAACUUGUCAUGGGAUGAAAUCUCUACCAUGCUAACAAGAAUCAAUGUUCCAUUGCAUAAGCAGCCAUCCAUGUUACACCGAAUUUCGACCUCUGCUAAUCAUAUAGCCAAUGCAGAUCAUAACAGGUCUAAAAAAGUAUUGCCUAUGAUGGUUUCGAUAAGUAUUCUUGUCGAUUACUCCUGCUACAAGCAAGAAGAUGCUAGCACUUAUGUGCUGAGGAACAACGCAGAUGUUGCCAAAUUGAUGCCUGUUCCUGCUAGUAAUGAAUCAGUUGAAGGACUGAAGAAGGAGAUUCUUGAAGAUCAGGGCAAUGUUUCCGUUAAACAAUGCAUGAUUUGCCUGGAAAACCUUCAAGCUGGAUCCGAAAUCAUGGGCAUGCCUUGCUCUCAUCUCUAUCAUCAAAUAUGCAUUUUGCAUUGGCUUAAGAUUAGCAACUUUUGUCCCAUUUGUCGCUUCCAGUUGUCUGCUUGAGCUUCUUGGAAUUUCAUGAUGUUUAGGGAGUUGGGAUCAGGUUCUACUAAGGCCCUUUUCUGGCCUUUAGCCUCUAUUUUCCAUAGUUAAUAAUCUGAUGGAAGUUGGGUCCUUUAAAAAUGGUGAAGUUUAUUUGCUUUGUGACAUCAGUUUAUUUAAUGCCUUGGGGGCAAGGAUAGAAUUAGUUGCUGAAUACAAGUACAACUAGACACAUGAAAAUACUUUUUUUAAUUUAAUUUUUUUUUAGCCGGGGAUCCUUCCUCAUUUUUUCAAUCCCACUCCUCUCUCCUGUCAAAAAAUAAAAAAUAAAGUACUUUAAUUCUCCUCAUUACGCUAUUUUUUUUCCUCAAUCUAGAACCCUCACCCUAGAUAAAAACUUGCACGAGUAACGCAUCAAAAGAUAUAUCAAUUGUACCCUUUGGUUAUACUUCUUGCAUUCGAACUGCAAUUCAAGAACAUUAUGGCUUAGAAACCCUAACGAUGAAUAACAAAAUUAUAUUCAAAUUCCGAAGUUAUUGUUCUUGGUGUGAACGAUAUGGAUCCAUGCAGCAUAGAGUAAGUGAGACAUAGAUUUAUUUCAAAGCCAUAUACAUAAGAGGGAAGAAAAGAAAAAGAAGAAAGGAGAAUGUGUUAAUGACCCAUUAUGAUUUUAUACAUGAAAUGCUAAAAUAAGUUGAUUGACGAUUAACUCUUAAAUCAUUCAUAUAAAAUCUAAAGUGUGGAAGGAACUAAUUAAAAAGGUAGGAAGAAAGCCAGAGCUAAAGAUUGUUGUUUUUAAGAACCUUAAUAGAAUCUUCAAUUUCGGUAUUAAAGGGGAAAUUGACACAGCUAGUAUAUAUGGUGCAAAAAAGUAGAGACAACUUUUCAAAAAGAUUUUAUGACACAAUAUAAUUGUAUUUUAGAAUGGUUCAAAAAUAAGAAACUGUUUUCCCAGAAGGUUCUGUGUCACAAUAUAGGUUUUUUCUCCCCUCUAUCCUACAGAAAACCUAUAUUCUAUGUAUAUAGGAUAGGUUUGAGCGUCUGUAUUCAGAUUUCAAAGAUUUUAUUUUGAGCGUCUGUAUUCACAAGCCAAUCUUGCUCAAUUUGAAAAUGUAUUAAAAAAAUUUUAUGGUGAAAAAUUAGUGCUCUUUGUGUUUAACCUAAAGUACUAGAAAAUAGGAAUACCUGAAAAAUAUAAAAUCUAGUAAUUGAAUAACUCCAAGAUAGCUCUUCAUCAUAUAGAAUACUGCAUUUAUGAGUCACUAAUAAUAACAGUUAACAAAGCAAACAUCAAAUUAAGGAGGACAAAGGCUAAGUGCUUGUAUAAAUAGGCACUCUUGUGUCUAGCAAUGCAAAGGAAAGAAAAACACAACCCCUAAUGAUGAGCUGUGAACCUAUAAACCAUAACAUGGAGGUAAUUUUCUCCAGGGUUAACAAUCUGAGAAGGGAAAUUUG
rnacentral:lncRNA from 1 species